UGUAUUUCAGGAGAACCAACAUCGUUGAAGAAUGCACUUGAUGAUCCUAAAUGGAAAAAGGCAAUGGAUGAGGAGUAUUCUGCGCUCAUGAGGAAUAAGACUUGGCAUCUUGUACCAAAUCAGAGAGGUAAAAAUAUUAUUGAUUGCAAAUGGGUGUAUAGAAUUAAGAAGAAGGCAGAUGGCUCCAUUGACAGAUAUAAGGCACGUCUAGUUGCAAAGGGCUUUAAGCAACGUUAUGGCAUUGACUAUGAGGACACCUUUAGUCCCGUUGUGAAAGCUGCAACUAUCAGACUUGUGUUAGCCAUUGCUGUAUCCAGAGGAUGGAGUUUAAGGCAGCUAGAUGUACAGAAUACGUUUCUGCACGGUGUUCUGGAAGAGGAAGUAUUUAUGAGACAACCACCUGGGUAUGAGAGUAAGAAAUUGCCACAGUAUGUCUGCAAGCUUGAUAAAGCACUCUAUGGUCUAAAG
rnacentral:rRNA from 1 species